GUGGAAUCCACGCCAUCCCCUCUAUAAAAGCCUGGCUCCGGCACUCUGUUAGCCUUCUUUCGCUUGUCUUCAGAUUUGUAUGGUUGCGUUUGUCUGCGUUCCGUUUCUUUCUUCAACUUUCAGCUAAGUCUUCCUCUUUUCUUUUCUUUUUAUAUCUUGGCUAUCGUCGCCCUCCCCCCCUUUCGUCCUCCUUCGCUUUCGUAAUCUCUUGUUGAUCUUGAUCCAGAUCUAGGGUUUCUGAUCUCUGCGUUCGAUUUUUCCUCUUAGAUCUUAAUU
rnacentral:misc_RNA from 1 species